ACGUGGGAAUAUUACAUUCACAAGCGUUUGGUUACAUUCAAUGGUAACAAAGUUGAAAGACAAAUAUCUUUUUGGGGGAUAGACUGAUUGUACACACACAUGGAGGAGAAUUCAUCAACUGAGAAAUGUGAAAUGGUUGAAGAGCCAUUGCUUCUGCAUGAUUCUGAAACUCAAAAGGGUGGCUUAAGAACUUUGCCUUUCAUCCUUGGUAAUAAAUUUGUUGUAUUAGUCGUAAUAUUGUAGUUCUUGUUUGUGAUAUUGAUCAUAGUGUGUUGUUUAUUGUGUUUUGAUUAUCGACGUUAUGUUGUUGUUGUUCUUGUAGACUUUGCAAUGUUUCUUGUGUUUCUUGUGUUUGUAUUGAGAAACACUCCUUCAUGUCAAUAGUGAGGCAAGAACAAGAGAUGUCUCGUGCCAUCGUCGUUGCUAGCUCGGCUUCGAAUUUGUCAAAUGAUUGAGAGAGUAAUUUUUUGAACAAAAAUUUAUUUGAAACUUGAAAAACAAGUGAAAUUAAAAUCCAAUAGAAAUGUUUUUCUCCAUUUGCGGACGCAUUUCAAACGUAGUGCUAAUGCAUAUAAAACGCAUCUCGAACGGAUGCGACCCUCCUUUGAGGAAGAGACACACUGUUUCACGUGGAGAAGUGACCGCGGGUGCAGGUCAAGCACAGCUGGAAUGUGCAAAAAUGCCACUUGUGGCCGCAGGUCCAGAGCAGGCCGGGCGCAGGUGGCUGACAUUUCAGAGGAACACUUAAUGACUAUAAAUACUGAACUUUUCCUCACGUAAAGGUACUAUUUUGAGUUGAAAAAAAAUCUUCUUCUAAAAACUCUUGUGCAAUCAUCAAAUCGUUGAGUGAGUUUGAAGUUUCAGAAAAUUUGAGGUACCGCUAUUUUCUGAAAGAGAAUCAUUUUAUGCUGGAAGGAAAGAUUCCAUAACCUCGGGUACUUGAGGAAAAUAAAUUCCUUAAGGACACACUGUGAAGUCGGUGGACUUGAUUCUAAACUUUUCUACUCCAUCUUCAUUUCUUAAAAUUCAUAAACACUUCAUUUUGAUAGUUCAUUUGCUUAUUCAUUUGAACUUGUGUUUGAAGUUGUUGGAACUUCAUUGUAGUUCUUGAAAUAGUUCUUGAACUUAGUAUUGAAGUUCGUAUUGAAAUAUACAGAUUUUGUACCCGGAACAACAAUACUUGCUUCUGAUAUCUAUUUUAGUUUGUUGCUUAUUAUGUUUUGGUUAUCACAUUAUGUUGUUGUUCUUUCUUUCUUGUAGACUUUGCAAUGUUUUCCUUGUUAUAUUGUCUUUGUUGGUUCCUUUUCCUAUGUAAUAACUUCUUUUUUAUGUGUUGAUGUCGAAUAACUUCGUUGUACUAGCCGUAGUAUUGUAGUACUUGCUUAUGAUAUCUAUUUCAGUCUGUUGCUUAUUGUGUUUCGGUUAUCGCAUUAUGUUGUUCUUGUUCUUUCUAGUAGACUUUGCAAUGUUUCCCUUGUUAGCUAUGAUAUAGUCUUCACUCUUUCUUUCUCCUUUGUACUUGGAAUUGCUACACUUGGGUCGAGGUCUUUCGAAAACUGUCUCGCUAUCUCCACGAGAUAGUGGUAAGGUCUCCGUACACUCUGCCCUCUCUAGACCGCACUUAUGAGAUUUCACUAGGUGAACCCCACUCUUGUAAAAUAACUUGCAAAUCACAUAGGAGAGGUAAACUGCACUAGGCAAGCCUCGUGUUACGAGCUUUGACCGUAGGCACCUCCUUCAUGGAAUUCCUAAGUCAAAUCAUCUCGGCCACCUGAAGGGUUACCUAGUUGUUGAUUCAUCGGUCAAACAUCUUGGUAAUUUUGCUGAAUUGGCCAAAAAUUUGUUCCUAAUAGACGAGAGACGCCAGUCGGCCAACUCAACAUCGAGGAAGGGAGUGAUUUUUUAUGUAGGUAAAUGGAAUAACGGAUAGUUGCCUGUAAUUGCUCUCACUAUAACUUAAUUCCAGGGUAAUUUUUACCUUGUUGCUUUUCGUCAGUCAAAUAUUUUGGUAAUUUUUCUAAUUAGUUGGCCAAAAAUUUGUUCCUAAUAGACAAGAGACGCCUGCAUGCCAACUCAAAAUCAAGCGAAGGGAGCGAUAGUUUAUGUAGAUAAAUGGAACUAUCUAUUGUUGAGGUAUGAAACUAGCGAAAAUGUGAUGUUUCAGGUGUGUUUUUUUACCAUUGAUUCUUUUGAUUUUUCUCUUACUUUUCGGAUUAGUUUACUCAUGUGUUGCUUUCUUGAUAAACACAUAUAAUUGCGCUUUACCGAGAUUCAAUUUGAUGAUUUUUACAUAGUUCUGAUUUGUCAGUCGAAUAUUUUGGUAAUUUUGCUGAGUUGGCCAAGUAUUUGUUCCGAAUAGACGACAAACGCCUGUAAGCUAACUCAAAAGUUAGUAGAAAGAGCGAUCAUUUAGGCAAGUAAACGGAAUAAUGGAUAGUUGAAGUAUGAAACUUG